AGCGAGCGCUGGCGGCAGGCCUAACACAUGCAAGUCGAACGAACUCUUCGGAGUUAGUGGCGGACGGGUGAGUAACACGUGGGAACGUGCCUUUUGGUUCGGAAUAACUCAGGGAAACUUGUGCUAAUACCGAAUGUGCCCUUCGGGGGAAAGAUUUAUCGCCAUUAGAGCGGCCCGCGUCUGAUUAGCUAGUUGGUGAGGUAACGGCUCACCAAGGCGACGAUCAGUAGCUGGUCUGAGAGGAUGACCAGCCACACUGGGACUGAGACACGGCCCAGACUCCUACGGGAGGCAGCAGCGGGGAAUCUUGCGCAAUGGGCGAAAGCCUGACGCAGCCAUGCCGCGUGAAUGAUGAAGGUCUUAGGAUUGUAAAAUUCUUUCACCGGGGACGAUAAUGACGGUACCCGGAGAAGAAGCCCCGGCUAACUUCGUG
rnacentral:rRNA from 1 species